AGAAAGGUGGCCGAGUGGUCGAAGGCGCACGCCUGGAAAGUGUGUAUACGGCAACGUAUCGAGGGUUCGAAUCCCUUCCUUUCUGCUA
rnacentral:tRNA from 1 species